CCAAAUAGUUUAACAUCCUGAAGUGGCUUAACAUGGUUAAAGGAAUGCCAGUACUAGCACAAAAAGAUGGUAUAGAUGUGUGGCUGUGGACAGCAGUCCCUAGAUUAAGGUCGGUUGUGUUGGAAACGCACGCUUAGCUGAAGCUGCUGUAAGAC